UGGAGUAUAUGCCACUGCAGACCGAAUUUUGAAUACGGUUAGCAACCCCAGCAGACAAGAUGCUUAUCAGCUGGUCAGUGGGGAAUUUCCGAUAAUUGAUAUAGUCAUCCCAGAAAAUUAAUUAACUCUUCACUAUUAGAUUUUGAAUAUUAAUGAAAUUAUAUAGACGUUAAUAAGCAUUAAAUUUGCUUUCCAAUGAAUACAGUUUCAAUUAAGUAUCCAUUGAUGAUGCCUUGCAUAAACAGAAGUUAAGUCAGAUUAUCUUUUUCAUCUUGGCAGUGGCUAGUCGUACGGGGCCGUACGUAUAGCAUUUCCUAUAGGCACUGUCUAGCCGUACGACUGUUAUAACAAAUAAAUAUAUUGAUUAUUAAUUGGUCUACGUUCAGAUUUCUUUUCCAUGCGUCAUGAGGAAACGUGCUAAUACAUGUGCUUAAAAUUGUGUGCUACCACGCAGGCAUUUUAGAUGAUUAUUGUUUUUCGCUACAUGAACGUCCCGCAAGAUAAUCAGUGCAUUUGUUUUAGCUACUUAGAUAGUGAAAUUGCAAAAUUUCUACCCUUUAGACUAGCUCGUGCAGUCGUUGUCAUGGAAUUUGCAGUCUGGUUUAUGUUUCGUCGUGAUUGAAAAUCCGUUUCGUACAUAGUAUAUAAUGAGGUGUAAAAAGGGAGAUAUGAAAAUGUAAAUUUAGUUCGCAUAACACAAUUUCGGCAAUCAAAAUAAAUCACAGUAACUGUUAUGGAGUAUAUAAAUACGCAUUGUACAUGCGAAUAUCAAAUGUAUACAUUAAAUAUAUAGUAAAUAAUUUUAACUAAGUCAAUGAAAAUUGCGACAUCACAAUGAGAAAAGUUUAUAACAAAACAAGUAAAAGGGAACUUAACGUGAAAAGGAUAAAACGAUAAAAGAGACCUCCUCUUUUGUUAUUAGUUUUUUUCUUAAAAAGUGACUUAAAUAUUUUUUUAAAGCAUUUUUUCUAAGUUUUACAGUUGUUACAGCUACGGUAUAAUAUUUUCCAAGAAAGUAAAUGACUAUUUGCAUUAAAAAGAUGUUUUUACAAAGAAAAUAAGAGUUUGCGAAAUGAAGUAGAUUAAAUGGGAAGUCUACGACUGUAGGUGGAUGGUCCACGGCCGUCCACAAGCUCAAAUGACCAUAUAUGGAGAAAAAGGCGGGACCAAACCAAAUAGGCUUGCAAUGCGCAUGCCCAAGCAAAACCGAUUUAACACCUGGCGCCGUGACCUGGAUGCAGAUUCUAAGCAGAUGGGCCAAAAUGGGGGCAGCUGGAGAGACUUGCCCGGAACUGACAAGCCUGGAGGAAGCUGGUUGACUGUUGGCGAGAUGGGACAACAGACGAAGAAUAAACGAACCUACUUGAUUUGAUAAACAUUUUUAUGUUUUUCAGUUUCGUCGGAAGACGUUUCCCAACAACCAUCCUGUCUUGAAAGAAAUAACUUUUGAACUUGAUUUUCUGAUAUUUUCCAGUUUCCCCUCACAACAAUAUGCAUCAAACCUCUUGUCUGCUCCUCAGCUGAAAUCAUCAUCUAGCAGUCACAAUAGUUGAGCGGUUGGAGAGGCAUGCAUUGCGUCCUACUACCUGCUCUGACUAUAUCAUGUUUGGCAGACAAAACAUGCUGAUCAAAAAGAAUUUGUACCACAGGGGCCAGUUUUUCCAUUUGAGAGAUUGACAAGAAGAAGAGAUGAGAAAUGUUAUCAUCAUAUUUUAGUCUCUACAUUUAUAGUGUACAGCUCAAUGUAUUGAACUGGUGUUGUAGAAUAUAAUUGGAGAUACAUGCGAACAUUAUACCAUUAUAUAUAAGAUGAUAUUUCAAAAGCAAUAAGAAAUAAAGAGUAUAAAAAGGUCAAAACAGUAGACCUUGUGUUUACAGUGGACAGGUUUAAAGUGGAAGUCACUAGUUAACUGUUGAUCAUAAGCUGCACUGAUGGAAAAAAUAGUGGGAAAUUACUAUCUAGAAAACUGUUUAACGUACGACAACAGUUGUGGAACUUCAUAAAUGACCGUAUGUAACAGGGCUGGGCAGUUUUCCUUAUAUAGCUAUAGUGAAACCUUUUGAACACAAGUGAAGUCACUGUUUUUUUCCAAUCUUCAUGCAUUUUGGUCGAAUAUUUGUUCA